GAUGAACGCUGGCGGCGUGCCUAAUACAUGCAAGUCGAGCGAACAGACGAGGAGCUUGCUCCUCUGACGCUAGCGGCGGACGGGUGAGUAACACGUGGAUAACCUACCUAUAAGACUGGGAUAACUUCGGGAAACCGGAGCUAAUACCGGAUAAUAUAUUGAACCGCAUGGUUCAAUAGUGAAAGACGGUUUUGCUGUCACUUAUAGAUGGAUCCGCGCCGCAUUAGCUAGUUGGUAAGGUAACGGCUUACCAAGGCAACGAUGCGUAGCCGACCUGAGAGGGUGAUCGGCCACACUGGAACUGAGACACGGUCCAGACUCCUACGGGAGGCAGCAGUAGGGAAUCUUCCGCAAUGGGCGAAAGCCUGACGGAGCAACGCCGCGUGAGUGAUGAAGGUCUUCGGAUCGUAAAACUCUGUUAUUAGGGAAGAACAAAUGUGUAAGUAACUAUGCACGUCUUGACGGUACCUAAUCAGAAAGCCACGGCUAACCACGUG
rnacentral:rRNA from 1 species